UCUCUUCAAAAAAAGAAUCCAUCCAGUGGAUAAAAACAAUUGGGAUAUCAUGCAAGCAAGGAGCUCCCUUACUCCCUGAAGAGGCUCACUGCACACUAUUAUGAGAAGACCCUGUCCCAACCAUCAACAUCUACUGCCUCCAGGAAGGAGUUACAAAAGAACAACCUUCACCCUUUAUCUCCCCUUAAGGUUAAGGGUUCUCUCAUAAGUAGAGGGGGAAAUGUUGGGGAAGCAGGAGCUCAGGAGAGCCAGAGUAACACCAUUUUAAAUUCAGCUCCAUCUUGAGACUAGCAAGGCACGUUCCUUGCCAGUCAUGACCCAGUCAUAAGAUAUUUACAGUUGAGGAAACAACCUAAAGAUACUUACAAUGACACACUCCUACAACAGUAGAAAGUCCAGAUGUCUCAAUACCCAUAACAAUAUAUGUUUUUGAGAUGAUUAACAUAAUUCUUUGAUGUAUUCAUGCACUAAAAUGUCAAGGAUUGUUUUCUUUAAAUCAACAGAAUAAUAAAUUUUGUCAUGCUGUCUGCUCACCCUCACAUAGGCACAGCUUAGUCUUUACAUCGAUAAGACCCCUAUGUAAGAAAAACUUAAAGACAGUCUGCUUGCUUUCUGAGGAUGUCCUACUCUAUAAUGGAGAAGCUUUCAAUAAACUGUCUCUUCUCACUGCACUCUGCAACUCACCUUGAAUUCCUUCCUGCAAGAGAUCCAAGAACUCUAACUCUCUCUUAGAGUCUGGAUCGAGACCCCUUCUCCAGCAACAGUAUCACAGUUUUCUAAGUUACUAAUAAUAUUAAUAUAUACUAAAAGAUUAUUAACAUACCUGAUUCAAGGUAUUUUUUUAAUGAUUCUUCAAGUGAAGGAACAGGCAGUGAUGGAAGAGAAUCCUGGUACUGAAAUGUUCGUUCUUCAGUUGAUUUAGCCAAUUGAUUUUCCAUGAUAAAAUCACAAUAGGAAACCUAAAGAAAAGAGAGAGAGCCCUCACAACUUCAAUCUCAUAGAUAGUGUUACGUAUCCUAGGUACAAUUCACAAUUCACUAAACCAGUAUUUAGGGACCACAGCAUAUCUAGGACUUGGUACCAGCUUUUAUGAAAUUUAUAAAUCUGUCAGAUAGAGAAAACCAACUUAAAAAGAAUGUGUAGACACAAAGUGCUAGAAGUAAAGAGUGAUCAGUGGGACUGGUAUAAUUAGUUACCAUUUAUUGAACACCUAGCAUUUGCCAGGUACUCCAGUUUGCAUUACAGAAAACAUGUGUUAGCUCUCUAACUUUUAUGUUAUCUCUGAAAGGUGGCAUUCUUUGCAAUUUUACAUAUGAAUAUAUCAAAACUCAGAAAUUUAGUAACUUACCUAAUGUCAAACACAGGACCCAAACCCAGAUCUGUUAAGACUACAAUCUUUCCCCUAUACAAAACAACAUGAUAGAA
rnacentral:lncRNA from 1 species